rfam:Lyngbya majuscula 3L genomic scaffold scf51858, whole genome shotgun sequence.
GUCAAUAACUCACCGCUAAGUCCUAUGGGACUAUAGCGGGAGCUUGUAGAAGCUCAUAGUUGACCAGACUAAGACUUGAUAAUGGUCUACGUUAUUUGAGUCAUAACACCUGUAGGUGCGUGCCAGCCUUCAGCUCUGUUGUUAACAAUUAAACAUCUGUAGAGAGUUAAGGAAGUGUUGUUAACCUAAAAAGCUCUUAUAACAUUGUCAAGGCAAACUUUAC